rnacentral:rRNA from 1 species
GACGAACGCUGGCGGCGUGCUUAAUACAUGCAAGUCGAACGGAAAGACCCUGCUUUUGUGGGGUGCUCGAGUGGCGAACGCGUGAGUAACACGUGAGUAACCUGUCCUUGACUUUGGGAUAUCUCCAGGAAACAGGGGCUCUUACCGGAUAGGAGCUCCUGCUGCAUGGUGGGGGUUGGAAAGUUUCGGCGGUUGGGGAUGGACUCGCGGCUUAUCAGCUUGUUGGUGGGGUAGUGUCUUACCACGGCUCUGACGGGUAGCCGGCCUGAGAGGGGGACCGGCGACAUUGGGACUGAGAUACGGAGCAGACUCCUACGGGAGGCAGCAGUGGGGAAUAUUGCACAAUGGGCGGAAGCCUGAUGAAGAAACGCUGCGUGCGGGAUGACGGCCUUCGGGUUGUAAACCGCUUUCGCCUGUGACGAAGCGUGAGUGACGGUAAUGGGUAAAGAAGCAACGGCUAACUACGUG